AUGAGCCGCAUGAGAUUCGAGUUGGUUAAUCGGCUCAUGGUGAAGGCCGGCCAAGCAGACGAGCGGAUCGCCGAGGGCACGCAGCAGUUCACCGACACACAGUGGGUGCGGGCGGUGGUGCAGUGUACUAGGGACCUGCUGGCGAGCGAGUGCACACGCUGCCUCUCCUACUACACCGACCAGCUGCCGCGAUUGUUUCCAAACAACAGCGGCGGCGCCAUCAAGGGGUACAGCUGCUACUUGGGUUGCGCCAUCCUUGCCGACAGGCCGUCCACGGUGCGGCUGAACAGGCACCGGUAUAGCGAGAGUUAUGAGAAGGAGAUGAAAGCCCAAGAGCUGGAGCGUAGGAGAAAACGGCGAAAGGUGGCUAUCAUCGUGUGUCUUAUUAUCGGCGCCGUGGUGCUCGUACUCUUUAUGAUCGGCCUAUUGGUUCGGUUCCUGUUUAACUGGUGGCGAAGAAGGAUGGCAGCGGCCGGGGUGUCCGUGACAUCAGAGCCGCUGAAAGAGUACUUCCGUGGCAAAAGCAUAUAUCAAGGCGAGCUCGAGGAAGGGACAGGGCCAAGGCGAUUCACAUACGAUGAGCUUGUGCCCGCCACAGACGGCUUCUCCGGCAGGAACAAGCUAGGCGAAGGAGGCUUCGGGUCCGUGUACCGGGGAUUCCUCCAUGACACGAACCUUCAUAUCGCCGUGAAGAAAGUGUCCAAGACCUCUCGCCAGGGCUGGAAGGAGUUUGUCUCGGAGGUAAAGAUCAUUAGCAGGCUCCGGCACCGGAACCUCGUGCCGCUUGUUGGAUGGUUCUAUGGAGGCGACGACGAUGAUUUUCUCCUCGUCUACGAGCUGAUGCCCAAUGGCAGCCUGGACGCUCACCUGUACAAGCCGGACCACCUGCUGCCAUGGGCAGUCAGAUAUGGGGUCGCACUUGGCCUUGGCUCCGGGCUGCUGUACCUGCACGAGGACGUGGAGCAGCGCGUCGUGCACAGGGACGUCAAGCCGAGCAACAUCAUGCUGGACGCGUCCUUCAACGCCAAGCUCGGUGACUUCGGGCUCGCCAGGUUCGUCCGCGAUGGUCAAGGCUCGUUCACGACAGGCGCAGCUGGGACGCUUGGGUACAUGGACCCGAAGUGCGUGUUUGUGGGCACGGCCAGUGUGGAGUCCGACGUGUACAGCUUCGGCGUUGUCCUAGUCGAGAUGGCAUGUGGCCGGACGCCGGCGGUAGUCCGUGACGAUGAUGGCGGAGGAGUUGUCCACCUGUUGCAGUGGGUAUGGGAGUCAUAUGGCAGAGGUGCCAUCCUGGAGGCAGCCGACGCCCGACUGGAUGGCAAGUUCGACGAGAAAGAGAUGGAGCGCGUCAUGGUGGUUGGGCUCUGGUGCGGGCACCCCGACCCUGGCCUGAGGCCGUCCAUCAGGCAGGCCGUCAGCGUGCUGCGGUUGGAGGCGCCGCUGCCGAGCCUCCCGGCGAAGAUGCCGGUGGCGACAUAUAUGAUGCGGCCAGAGGUUGAUGAAUCUUUCGGUUCUUCCGUGGUCAACCGCGGCGGCGGCAGCGUGGACUCCAGCAUGACUCAUUCUACUCGAGGCAAAGUCGAGUAG
rnacentral:rRNA from 1 species